AGCUUUGCACAGUGACAGUAUUGUAGCCAAUGAGGUUUAUCUGAGGCGCGAUUACUGCUAAGAUUUCUUUAAUCGUGCCUUAUUAAUUUUAUUUUCUUUUUUAAGGUCACUAGGUAUUUGGUAGGAAUCUGAAUC